rnacentral:rRNA from 1 species
GACGAACGCUGGCGGCGUGCUUAACACAUGCAAGUCGAACGGAAAGGCCCCCUUGUGGGGUACUCGAGUGGCGAACGGGUGAGUAACACAUGAGUAACCUACCCUUGACUUUGGGAUAACUUCAGGAAACUGGGGCUAAUACCGGAUAGGAGCUCCUGCUGCAUGGUGGGGGUUGGAAAGUUUCGGCGGUUGGGGAUGGACUCGCGGCUUAUCAGCUUGUUGGUGGGGUAGUGGCUCACCAAGGCUUUGACGGGUAGCCGGCCUGAGAGGGUGACCGGCCACAUUGGGACUGAGAUACGGCCCAGACUCCUACGGGAGGCAGCAGUGGGGAAUAUUGCACAAUGGGCGGAAGCCUGAUGCAGCAACGCCGCGUGCGGGAUGACGGCCUUCGGGUUGUAAACCGCUUUCGCCUGUGACGAAGCGUGAGUGACGGUAAUGGGUAAAGAAGCACCGGCUAACUACGUG